rnacentral:rRNA from 1 species
AUUGAACGCUGGCGGCAGGCCUAACACAUGCAAGUCGAACGGUAGCACAGAGAGCUUGCUCUCGGGUGACGAGUGGCGGACGGGUGAGUAACGUCUGGGAAACUGCCCGAUGGAGGGGGAUAACUACUGGAAACGGUAGCUAAUACCGCAUAACGUCGCAAGACCAAAGUGGGGGACCUUCGGGCCUCACACCAUCGGAUGUGCCCAGAUGGGAUUAGCUAGUAGGUGGGGUAAUGGCUCACCUAGGCGACGAUCCCUAGCUGGUCUGAGAGGAUGACCAGCCACACUGGAACUGAGACACGGUCCAGACUCCUACGGGAGGCAGCAGUGGGGAAUAUUGCACAAUGGGCGCAAGCCUGAUGCAGCCAUGCCGCGUGUAUGAAGAAGGCCUUCGGGUUGUAAAGUACUUUCAGCGGGGAGGAAGGCGGUGAAGUUAAUAAUCUUGCCGAUUGACGUUACCCGCAGAAGAAGCACCGGCUAACUCCGUGCCAGCCGCCGCAGUAA